rnacentral:rRNA from 1 species
AAGUCGUAACAAGGUCUCCGUUGGUGAACCAGCGGAGGGAUCAUUACCGAGUUAUACAACUCAUCAACCCUGUGAACAUACCUAAAACGUUGCUUCGGCGGGAACAGACGGCCCUGUAACAACGGGCCGCCCCCGCCAGAGGACCCCUAACUCUGUUUUUAUAAUGUUUUUCUGAGUAAACAAGCAAAUAAAUUAAAACUUUCAGCAACGGAUCUCUUGGCUCUGGCAUCGAUGAAGAACGCAGCGAAAUGCGAUAAGUAAUGUGAAUUGCAGAAUUCAGUGAAUCAUCGAAUCUUUGAACGCACAUUGCGCCCGCCAGUAUUCUGGCGGGCAUGCCUGUUCGAGCGUCAUUACAACCCUCAGGCCCCCGGGCCUGGCGUUGGGGAUCGGCAGAAGCCCCCUGUGGGCACACGCCGUCCCUCAAAUACAGUGGCGGUCCCGCCGCAGCUUCCAUUGCGUAGUAGCUAACACCUCGCAACUGGAGAGCGGCGCGGCCAUGCCGUAAAACACCCAACUUCUGAAUGCUGACCUCGAAUCAGGUAGGAAU